UAAAUGUGGGGACAACAUUACAUUCACUAAGAUAUGCACCACAACAAUCUCAAUCUGAACUAUGCAAACGAAGAAAGUCUUCGGAGAUUCACUGGAGAUCU